GACAGAGGGUGCAAACGUUGUUCGGAAUUACUGGGCGUAAAGCGCACGUAGGCGGCUUUGCAAGUUAGAGGUGAAAGCCCGGGGCUCAACUCCGGAAUUGCCUUUAAAACUGCAUCGCUAGAAUUGUGGAGAGGUAAGUGGAAUUCCGAGUGUAGAGGUGAAAUUCGUAGAUAUUCGGAAGAACACCAGUGGCGAAGGCGACUUACUGGACACAUAUUGACGCUGAGGAGCGAAAGCGUGGGGAGCGAACAGG
rnacentral:rRNA from 1 species